GGUUCAGGUGUAAGCUCCAGAUUGAACGCUGGCGGGAUGCUUUACAUACUGCAGUCAGAACGGCAACACGGUUCGGUCUGGUGGCAUACGUGGCGAACAGGUGAGUAAUGUAUCGGAACAUGCCUAGUAGCGGGGGUAACUACGCGAAAGCGUAGCUAAUACCGCAUACGCCCUUCGGGGAAAGCGGGGGACCUUCGGGCCUCGCACUAAUGAGCGGCCGAUAUCGGAUUAGCUAGUUGGUGGGGUAACGGCUCGCAAGGCGACGAUCCGUAGCUGGUUUGAGAGGACGACCAGCUACACGGGACUGAGACACGGCCCGAACUCUACGGGAGGCAGCAGUGGGGAAUUUUGGACAAUGGGGAAACCUACAGUCCGAAAGCCAUCCCGCGUGUGCGAUGAAGGCCUUCCGGGUUGUAAACACUGGCAGGAAAGAAACGGCACGGGAUAAUACCCCGUGCAACUGACGGCCACCUGCAGAAUAAGCACCGGCUAACUACGUGCCAGCAGCCGCGGUAAUACACGUAGGGUGCAAGCGUUAAUCGGAAUUACUGGGCGUAAAGCGUGCGCGGGCGGUUCGGAAAGAAAGAUGUGAAAUCCCAGAGCUUAACUUUGGAACUGCAUUUUUAACUACCGAGCUAGAGUGUGUCAGAGGAGGUGGAAUUCCGCGUGUAGCAGUGAAAUGCGUAGAUAUGCGGAGGAACACCGAUGGCGAAGGCAGCCUCCUGGGAUAACACUGACAUUUUCCUUUUGGCGUGGGGAGCAAACAGAGUUAGAUACCCUGUUGAAUUCCACGCCCUAAACGAUGUCAACUAGCUGUUGGGCCUUCGGGCCUUGGUAGCGCAAUAACGCGUGAAGUUGACCGCCUGGGGCUCUGAUCGCAGAUUAAAACUCAAAGGAAUUGACGAGGACCCACAAGCGGUGGAUGAUCUGUAGUUAAUUCGAUGCAACGCGAAAAACCUUACCUACCCUUGACAUGUCUGGAAUCCCAGAGAUUUGGGGGUGCUCGCAAGAGAACCGGAACACAGGUGCUGCAUGGCUGUCGUCAGCUCGUGUCGUGAGAUGUUGGGUUAAGUCCUGGCGAGCUGGCCUUGUCAUUAGUUGCUACGAAAGGCACUCUAAUGGAACUGCAGUGACAAACCGGAGGAAGGUGAGGAUGACGUCAAGUCCUCAUGGCCCUUAUGGGUAGGGCUUCACACGUCAUACAAUAGAUCAGGACCAGAGGGUCGCCAACCCGAGAGGCCAAUCCAGAAACCCGAUCGUAGUCCGGAUCGCAGUCUGCAACUCGACUGCGUGAAGUCGAAAUCGCCGUAAUCGCGGAUCAGCAUGUCGCGGUGAAUACGCGUUCCCGGGUCUUGUACACCGCCCGUCACACCAUGGGAGUGGGUUCACCAGCAGUAGUUAAGCCUAACCGUAAGGGCGUUACCACGGUAAGUUCGCGGCUGGGGUGGGUCGUAGCUCGGGUAA
rnacentral:rRNA from 1 species